ensembl:lncRNA
UAGAUGGCUAGCUGGGCAGGGCUCAUCAUGACAACUGACUUCACUGACCAGUGUUGCCAACUAUGUUUCUGCUGAGUUUCGCUGUUGCCGCGACGACGUCACAGCACCAAUUUGCCUUGCUGCAGCACGAAUAUGGUCCCCAACGUAGCGUUAUCGCCCCCUCUUCUUCUAUUUCCCAUCCUGUGUGCGCAAUGCUGCGACUUAUGUUACAUAUACUGCAACUCUCGUUUGCGGCAGAAAUGAUAAGGAAAAGUCGCUAAAUGCCAUCAAAACCCUCGGUGUCAAAACUCCCCAAUGGUUGCCUGAAAAGUAGCUGAAUUUGUCUCUAGAAUCCUUCACAAAUACAAUUCGCUGGAGAGGUCUGAAAAUAUAGCAGCUAAAUUGACAACACUGGAACAGACUUAAUCGAAUCCACUCGACUAUUGCUGCGCGAAAUAAGUAAUCAAUGUAUUUGGGAACCAGGCGUGGCAUUGCCAUGAAAGUGUUGUUCAUAAUGUUGGUACAUAAAAGAAAGAGUCGUCUUUUGUAACUCGUUGUAGAACUUAGGUCAUUUUACGAUUCUCUGAUGGAAAAAUGCAAUGAGGAUGAGAAGCCCGUAACGUUAACUUCGGGAUAGCAGUGCUAGUACCGUAGUUCUUGCUGUAAAAUUGACUAAUAGAAGUAUAAAGGGGAGGAAUUGCACAUGCAGGAACGCCCUGAAUUGUGCGUCGCAAUUACACCCUUCUAAACAAUUCCAUGAGGAGCGUUUGAAAAAUAAACACUUUAAUUGAACAAUUGAACAGUUGUUAAUUCUACAGGAUUAGCAUUGAAAGCGUGACUAGCGGUGGGGAAAUCAGAGGGAAGUCAGAGGACACUGAUGCCCCGGUCCCAUUUCACAGCAAGCAUCCAGACUGCCAAAAUCACAGUACCAGGGACUGCAAAGGGUGAGGGACCACACCAAUAACAUGGGUCACCCCUGCCACAACAACACCAUCAGACUCUGCCAACCCAUGGCCCAUGACACUCAGACCAAACAGGAAAUUCUGGAACUGUGCAGAUAAAACCAGAGGAUUCUGAUCUGGAGAGAGAGAAGCUGAAUAAGGAGAAGGAUGCUCUGCAGGUGACAACAGAGUUUAUGACGGUCAUAAUGGAGGAUGGAGGAUGGAGGAUGGAGGAGCAGCAGCAGCAGAGACCCUCAGGGAAGAACAACACUCUGAAAGCCAAAGACAAGCUACAGACCGGAGGGCCUCACAGCAAGGAGGAGCAUGACAGGAAAAUCAAAUGGAUCAAAACCGCGUGCUGCCUUCCACUGAAGAAGACUAAAUAACAGGCUGAGUUAUGACCCUAAGCUCUGAACUGUAGUACUGGAGAAAGGAGAUUGACCUCUGCUGAUGGUUUUGUAGUCUUGCUAUUGGUUGUGUUUAUAAAGACAUGAAUCAGCAUCUUCUUGGACAAAGCUGUGUAUUGUUUUGUUUGACGACAUAAUGUAAUAUUUUGAACUUUAAUUGUGUCUUUUGAAGUGCUGUUUUGAAAGCACUUCGAACUUAAGAAGAAUUUCAUGAAAAUGAGGUGUGUGCUCCAUUAGGAAUGGAGAAAUCAUGACAAUAAAGAACUCAUUCCAGAGAAUCAGGAGCAGAUUGUGAAAUGUUCAGAUGGCUCUUACUUAAAGUGACCUCAAAAUUCACAGCCAUUCAGCAGCUGCCAUCGUCUGGUCAAUACUGUAAAUGGAAGUCCGGUCCAACUGGAAGAGAUGUUCAAUUUAGUGUUAUGAAAGUAGCUAUGUCCCUUUCUAAGUUCAAUUCUAUAUCUAUUAUGAAGCUGCAGUAGCUGGCUAAAGUAAUGACCAACCAGGAAAAACAACCUGAAAUGCAGAAGAUAAAAAAUACACAGGUUCAUAUAGGCAUUCGUGAUUAUGAUGAGAAAUUGAAUUAAUUUAUUUGGUUUAACCCUAGUUCCUGCUUGUGUCCCUAGCCAUCAUCUUUUCUUGUUUUCCUUUUACAGAACACCAUUACAGUGUCAUGACAUUUAUUCAGCACUAAUUGGGGCUGAGGCUCGAUCAAGCAUAUCUGUCUGAGGCACAAUACAAACUCUGUUGUUGAAGUGCUAUGAUAACCAAGCUAUCUACAGUUUUUACCAUCAGUAAGUAGGUGACGUGCUAGAUGCAAGGUUAUUUUGGCCAGCGUAAAGGCAGUGUGAGUUUAAGUGUGUGCAGGAAAUGCAGGGUGAUUAAUUUUUUCCCCCAGAAGGCUGUUAAGCAGCAACAAGACUGAUUUAAUGUAUUUUCUGCCCAACAGUGUCCUCAUCAGACUCCAGCAGCUCUAAAGCAUUGUUUGGUUUGGUGCAGAGGAGCCCUGUGUAUCCUAUGCAGUUAGGGGUUCCAUUUUUCAUUCCAGUGUCCUCCCUCUCUCAGGUUAUUGUUAUCACAGUGUAUGUUUAACUACGGCUCACUGACACUGUAAUUACUUUAAUUUAUGUAUUGGUGUUGUCAUGUAUAUGUACACAGAUUGACAUGAAUAGUUUUCUCUGCAUGUUAGUACUAUAAUGAAGAACAUUUCUGUUAUAAUCAAUGUAGGACUGUCUAUUCUGAUUAGGCCUAUAUCUCUAGAGGACUACCAAUCCAUCUAAUUGAGUGGACAACUUUAGAUGAUGGCAAAUACUAACGCUUAACUAUGUACGUACUGAUCUAUAGUAUAAUAACAAAUGUAAUCCCACUGGUGGCUUGCCUCUGAAGCUAAGCAGAGUUGGUCCUGGACGGUCCCUGGAUGGGAGACCAGUGGUGUUAGAGGGCCAGUAGGAGUCAGUUUUUUCCCCUGGUAUUUUUUCUUUAUCCCAAUGCCCCAGGGCAGUGAUUGGGAACAUUGCCCUGUAUAGGGUGUCGUCUUUCAGAUGGGAUGUUAAACGGGUGUGCUGACACUCCGUGUUCACUAAAGAUCCCAUGGCACUUAUUGUUAGAGUAGAGGUGUUAACCCUGGUGUCCUGGCUAAAUUCCUGAUCUGGCCCUCAAACCAUCAUGGCCACCUAAUCAAAUUAUAUGUCACAUGCGCCAAAUACAGGUGUAGACCUUUACAGUGAAAUGCUUACUUACCAGCUUUAACCAACAAUGCAGUUAAAAAGAAUAAGAAAUAAAAGUAACAAAUAAUUAGAGCAGAAGUCAAAUAACAAUAGCGAGGCUAUAUACAGGGGGUACAGGUACAGAGUCAUGCUGGUGCAGAGGUUAGUUGAGGUAAUAUGUACAUGUAGGUAGAGAAGAGUAGCAGUAGUGUAAAGGGGGGGUGCAAAGCAAAUAGUUUGGGUAGCUAUUUUAUUAGAUGUUCAGGAGUCUUAUGGCUUGUCCCCAGCUUCCAAUUGGCUCAUUCAUCCGCUCAUUCAUCCGCUCCCCGUAACUAUUCCCCAUGUUGUUGCUGUAAAUGAGAAUGAGUUCUCAGUCAACUUACUGGUAACGUAAGGGUUAAAUAACAGUUAAAAAGAAACACAAGUACUCUGGAUUCAACUCUUCUAUUUCAUUCCCAUUUCCACCUGCAGCAACAUUUUCAAACGGCAGAGGGCAUUGCUGUCCAGUAACGAUGGCUGACAUUGCAGAUGAUGUCAUGUGAGUCUUUCAGUGGGCUUUAUUUGUUAUUACACUUAGACACUGACACAUGCACAGUAACAAACAAAGUGACAGAACCGCUAUUACUAUUGGCUGUGGGGAGUGUGCUGUUUUUUGCACCGAAAGCAACUGAUUCAGUGAGUACUUCCAAAUAAAUAUUUUAUGGCAGCUUCUACUACAUCUUGUACCAUGUUCAUACUGCACAUUUCCCUGAGGAAGUGACAAUUCCCAUAGCAGUCCAUUACUUUAUUGGGCUUAAUAAAAAUGCCUUCUUGUGAAACAGAAAUAACAUGUAGCACUUGGGCAGAGAGAGGAAACUCGCCCACCAGCACAUAAAGCC